UAUUUUCAGGUUGAUUUGGCCAAA
rnacentral:piRNA from 1 species